rnacentral:rRNA from 1 species
GAUGAACGCUGGCGGCGUGCCUAAUACAUGCAAGUAGAACGCUGAAGGAAGGAGCUUGCUCUUUCCGGAUGAGUUGCGGACGGGUGAGUAACGCGUAGGUAACCUGCCUGGUAGCGGGGGAUAACUAUUGGAAACGAUAGCUAAUACCGCAUAACAGUAGAUGUUGCAUGAUAUCUACUUAAAAGGUGCAAUUGCACCACUACCAGAUGGACCUGCGUUGUAUUAGCUAGUUGGUGAGGUAACGGCUCACCAAGGCGACGAUACAUAGCCGACCUGAGAGGGUGAUCGGCCACACUGGGACUGAGACACGGCCCAGACUCCUACGGGAGGCAGCAGCAGGGAAUCUUCGGCAAUGGACGGAAGUCUGACCGAGCAACGCCGCGUGAGUGAAGAAGGUUUUCGGAUCGUAAAGCUCUGUUGUAAGAGAAGAACGAGUGUGAGAGUGGAAAGUUCACACUGUGACGGUAUCUUACCAGAAAGGGACGGCUAACUACGUG